rnacentral:lncRNA from 1 species
UGAUGAAACUUACAAAAGGUCAUUUAUGUAACUACUGUCACUUUUUUUCCUACACCAUAAUAAGUAUCGAUAAUUUAAAAAUAAAGAAGAAAGAUGUGGAUAGAAGAGAGGAAACGGUUAUUUUUAAAGGUAAAUGGAGAUAGGUAUGGGGUCCCAGUAAAAGGCAAAAUUAUCAUACAUGUAAAGGAUACUCAUUCUAAACCAUUUAUGUACACAAUUUAAUGUAAUUAAUGCAUAUAAUUAACUGCCAAUGUAAUAAGGAUUUGUAUAUCAGGCUUAUAGUAUAUAAGUUCAAACAGGAAAACUAGAUUCUUUUGCAGGAGGUAAGAUGGAAGCUGCUGGUGCCCUCUCUUAGUAACUUAGGCAAUGGAGAAAGUC